rnacentral:rRNA from 1 species
UGGGGAAUAUUGGGCAAUGGGCGCAAGCCUGACCCAGCAACGCCGCGUGAAGGAAGAAGGCUUUCGGGUUGUAAACUUCUUUUCUUGGGGACGAAGAAAGUGACGGUACCCAAGGAAUAAGCCACGGCUAACUACGUGCCAGCAGCCGCGGUAAUACGUAGGUGGCAAGCGUUAUCCGGAUUUAUUGGGUGUAAAGGGCGUGUAGGCGGGAAUGCAAGUCAGAUGUGAAAACUAUGGGCUCAACCCAUAGCCUGCAUUUUGAAACUGUAUUUCUUGAGUGCUGGAGAGGCAAUCGGAAUUCCGUGUGUAGCGGUGAAAUGCGUAGAUAUACGGAGGAACACCAGUGGCGAAGGCGGAUUGCUGGACAGUAACUGACGCUGAGGCGCGAAAGCGUGGGGAGCAAACAGGAUUAGAUACC